UAAGGAAUAUUGGUCAAUGGACGCAAGUCUGAACCAGCCAUGCCGCGUGAAGGAUGAGGGUCCUCUGGAUUGUAAACUUCUUUUAUCUGGGACGAAAACGGGAUUUUUAUCUCAAUUGACGGUACCAGAGGAAUAAACACCGGCUAACUCCGUGCCAGCAGCCGCGGUAAUACGGAGGGUGCGAGCGUUAUCCGGAUUUACUGGGUUUAAAGGGUGCGCAGGUGGGCUUAUAAGUCAGUGGUGAAAUCUCCGAGCUUAACUUGGAAACUGCCGUUGAUACUAUAGGUCUUGAAUUAUCUGGAGGUAAGCGGAAUAUGUCAUGUAGCGGUGAAAUGCUUAGAUAUGACAUAGAACACCAAUUGCGAAGGCAGCUUACUACAUAUAAAUUGACGCUGAGGCACGAAAGCGUGGGGAUCAAACA
rnacentral:rRNA from 1 species